UACGUAGGGUGCAAGCGUUUGUCCGGAAUUAUUGGGCGUAAAGAGCUCGUAGGUGGCCUGUCGCGUCGGCUGUGAAAGCUCGGGGCUCAACUCCGAGCUUGCAGUCGAUACGGGCAGGCUAGAGUUCGGCAGGGGAGACUGGAAUUCCUGGUGUAGCGGUGAAAUGCGCAGAUAUCAGGAGGAACACCGGUGGCGAAGGCGGGGUCUCUGGGCCGAUACUGACACUGAGGAGCGAAAGCGUUGGGGAGCGAACAGG
rnacentral:rRNA from 1 species